GAACGGGUGAGUAACACGUGGGCAAUCUGCCCUUCACUCUGGGACAAGCCCUGGAAACGGGGUCUAAUACCGGAUACGACCUGCCGAGGCAUCUCGGUGGGUGGAAAGCUCCGGCGGUGAAGGAUGAGCCCGCGGCCUAUCAGCUUGUUGGUGGGGUAAUGGCCUACCAAGGCGACGACGGGUAGCCGGCCUGAGAGGGCGACCGGCCACACUGGGACUGAGACACGGCCCAGACUCCUACGGGAGGCAGCAGUGGGGAAUAUUGCACAAUGGGCGAAAGCCUGAUGCAGCGACGCCGCGUGAGGGAUGACGGCCUUCGGGUUGUAAACCUCUUUCAGCAGGGAAGAAGCGAAAGUGACGGUACCUGCAGAAGAAGCGCCGGCUAACUACGUGCCAGCAGCCGCGGUAAUACGUAGGGCGCAAGCGUUGUCCGGAAUUAUUGGGCGUAAAGAGCUCGUAGGCGGCUUGUCGCGUCGGAUGUGAAAGCCCGGGGCUUAACCCCGGGUCUGCAUUCGAUACGGGCAGGCUAGAGUUCGGUAGGGGAGAUCGGAAUUCCUGGUGUAGCGGUGAAAUGCGCAGAUAUCAGGAGGAACACCGGUGGCGAAGGCGGAUCUCUGGGCCGAUACUGACGCUGAGGAGCGAAAGCGUGGGGAGCGAACAGGAUUAGAUACCCUGGUAGUCCAC
rnacentral:rRNA from 1 species